GCAUAACGCGAAGAACCUUACCCACCUUUGACAUGUACGGAAUCCUUUAGAGAUAGAGGAGUGCUCGAAAGAGAACCGUAACACAGGUGCUGCAUGGCUGUCGUCAGCUCGUGUCGUGAGAUGUUGGGUUAAGUCCCGCAACGAGCGCAACCCUUGCCAUUAGUUGCUACGAAAGGGCACUCUAAUGGGACUGCCGGUGACAAACCGGAGGAAGGUGGGGAUGACGUCAAGUCCUCAUGGCCCUUAUAGGUGGGGCUACACACGUCAUACAAUGGCUGGUACAGAGGGUUGCCAACCCGCGAGGGGGAGCUAAUCCCAUAAAGCCAGUCGUAGUCCGGAUCGCAGUCUGCAACUCGACUGCGUGAAGUCGGAAUCGCUAGUAAUCGCGGAUCAGAAUGUCGCGGUGAAUACGUUCCCGGGUCUUGUACACACCG
rnacentral:rRNA from 1 species